rnacentral:rRNA from 1 species
UACGUAGGGUGCGAGCGUUGUCCGGAAUUAUUGGGCGUAAAGGGCUCGUAGGCGGUUUGUCGCGUCGGGAGUGAAAUCCACUGGCUUAACUGGUGGCUUGCUUUCGAUACGGGCAGACUGGAGGUAUGCAGGGGAGACUGGAAUUCCUGGUGUAGCGGUGAAAUGCGCAGAUAUCAGGAGGAACACCGGUGGCGAAGGCGGGUCUCUGGGCCGAUACUGACGCUGGGGAGCGAAAGCGUGGGGAGCGAACAGG